GAGUUUGAGGACUUUAACUACAUCACUUCCUACAGCUGACGUAGCUGACAAAAUAAACCACCAUUCAGUCGUGAAAUGGGUGAUGGUUUGAUGCCUGUCAGAGAAACACAACGAUAGGCAUUCAAAGAGAUGACAGUGAGGAGUUAGAGGAAAGUGACCAAGAGUGCGGCCAAACCUAAAGAGCCAAAGCCAAAAGAACCCAAACCUAAAGCAGAGAGGAAGCCGAGAGCUGAACAAGUCUCUAAAGUGAAGAAGGAAAAGACUAAAAAAGAGCGACAAACCGAGGAGUCACAGCAGCAUGUGACGGUCAAAGAAGAGACAAGUCGUUAUUAGAUUUCCACUGUGGCAUAUUGCAAUUCUUGUUUUUCUAAAUGACCUUUUAUUCAAUGAUCCAUCCUGACUGACAUCAGCAGAAAUCAGUUUAAUUUCAACAUUUUGCUUCAUUUUAGAGGUUGUCCAUUAACUUGAGCAGUCAUAAAGGAGCUGUCCCAGGAGAUAUGCCUGAUGAGUGUCCAUCAUCCAGUCAGCUUUCCCCAAGGUGAAAAAAGAGGAGCCAUUAUGGUGCGCUAUAGAAAGGAGCUCAUCAACCAUAUGGAUGCUGAUGCUGUUUGAGAUGUGCAGCUGACUCUUGAAGAGUUACGCUGUCUGUAGGGUUGUCGACCCUGGAUAAGGUGGCCACUGGUGUGAAGGAGAUCCUGGCAGAUUUGAUAGCAAAGGACAAAGAGACACUAACUUAUGUCCAGUCAUGGUGUAACAGGAGUGCGGUGGCCAUUCACUCGUCAGUGUCUAAAACAGCAGCUGCAGCAGGACAAUCAGAAGAGCAAACCAAAGGACAUCGCCAAUCCAGUCUGUGUACUGACUUCACCUGCGAUGUUCAGCGCAUCCAGCAAUAUCAGGUAUGGUCAGGUCUUUAUGUUGUCAUUCCAGAUUUGCUCUAAAGACAGGAUACUUUCAGAUCUGUAAACUUUUUUUUUUAUAGAAGUUUGGGAUAUCAUUUGCAGUCAUAGGCCUGUUUUUGUUCUUGUUUUCUGAUAUUGCAUAUUCCACAGAAGACUUUUCCACAAUGAGAAGUUAAAACUACUUUUCAUUCCCAGAUGAAAUAAUAAUUAAAAAGUUUUUAUAUAAAUAUAUAUAAUUAUUUUUAUAAAUAUUGGAUCAGAGAACAGCAAAUGAUUGGGAUAAGAAUCUGGAAAUUGUGAGCGUGAUUCAUAUUCUUUAGCUGGUUAUUAAAUCUGAUGGCACAUAUCACUGUUUCCUGGUCCAAGCACUCCUUUAGGUCCCUAAAGCAAAUAAGGUGGUAGUAUCAGUAUUAUUUAUUAUAAUUAUUAAUAUUUUGUAUUAGCUUUUAUUUAAUAUUUUUAGUUUUCUUUCUAAUUUUUGUUUGUUAUAGUAUUUUUGUUAUUUGCUUUUUAUUAGGGUAUAUAUAUAUAUAUACACAUCACUUGUGAGAGUGUAUUAAGGACAGAUGUGUGUGUGUAUGUUUCUGUAUAGUUUUUUUUUUGUACUUUAACUUAUUUCAAUUGACCAAGGCAACACAUUUUAAAGUUUUACAUCUAAUAUGUAUAUUAUUCCAGCUUUAUUAAAAAACAAAACAAACAAAAACAAAACAGAAUACAUUUUUAGUAAUUUGAAUCAUUAAAAUAUUGAUGUCCAGGACUUGAAAUGCAUGACUACUCAUUAUGCAUUAACUACAAGUCGAAUAUUUUGGACAACCUUGUCUAAAGUACUUUUUUUUUUUUUGUUAUCUUAAAAACCUUAAAAUCCUAAAAACUGAAUUUUUGAAUACUUGUGUUAUUUAGUUUUGAUGACUGAUGGAUUAUUGUAAAAUAGUACGAAAGUCAUAAUAAACCGUGAGCAGGUGUGUCCAAACCUUUGACAGCUAUUGACACACUCAGACACAAUCCACCACUCCACACACACACAGUUUUGCACCAUAUACACAGGUCCUCGUGCCACUCUUUAAAGCUCAUCUGUCAGUGCUGUUUAACUGUUUGUGUUUGUGUCAAGGGUGUCCCCUUCCCCCUCUCUCACUUCAUGGCUACCCGUUUACUCACUCAGAUUUGGUUGUGGGCCACGUGUCACAGUGACUCUGUCAUCCUUUCCUCCCUCUAUUCAUCGCUCUCCCCUGUUCCCUGUCCCCCAGUCAUUCCCGAUCUCCCCCUCUUAACAUAUGUGACACGUCCCCAUCCACGUGCCUGUGGAUUAAAGGCUAGGAUUGACAGACACUGCUUCAUGAUGACAGCCGCUCAUGGGCUCUGUGAGAAAGGAGGGGGAAAGGGAGGCGAGGGAGAGAGACAAAGAGCGAAAGACGGGCCGAAUGAGUGAGUGAAUGAGUGUCGUGAGAUCUCCUGUGAAGCACACAGUUUACCCGUUGUUAAUCUGCUGACGUGGAUUGUCAGUGAGUGUUAAUUUUUAGUUUGCCGUGACCUGUGAGCUGUCACACUCCGGCUAAAAUGAACCUUUUCAUGGUUUUCCUAGAGAAGAGUAUGGAAUGUAUUUUGACAGGAGGCAUGUGUAUGCAGACAUACUUGCUUGUUUAAUUUAACACAUUACUUGUGAGAGUGUAUUAAGGACAGAUGUGUGUGUGUGUGUGUGUUGGGGGGUUAAGGGUGUGCUCGUAUUGUAAGGGUGAACCGAUUGGUCUUAGUGACUCCAUCAUUAACAGAGGUUGCAUUUAUGCAGUAUGUGUAAAUUAGGCAGAAAGUUAAUUAUCAAACUGUUUACAUUAUUGGUUUAACCAGCUGUUGUAAAAUUUCUUCCUACAUUCCUUUAAUGUGUUUUUAUUAUUCCUCAAAACAAAUAAA